AAGACUCCUGGAAGAACACCAGGUUGAUAGGUCAGAGAUGUAAGCAUGGCAACAUGUUAAGUUGACUGAUACUAAUAAGUCGAGGGCUUGACCAAAUAA
rnacentral:rRNA from 1 species